GACAGAGGGUGCAAACGUUGUUCGGAAUUACUGGGCGUAAAGCGAGUGUAGGCGGUUUGGUAAGUCGGAUGUGAAAGCCCCGGGCUCAACCCGGGAAGUGCACUCGAUACUACCAGGCUAGAGUAUCGGAGAGGUUGGUGGAAUUCUCGGUGUAGAGGUGAAAUUCGUAGAUAUCAAGCGGAACACCGGUGGCGAAGGCGGCCUUCUGGACAGUGACUGACGCUGAGACGCGAAAGCGUGGGGAGCAAACAGG
rnacentral:rRNA from 1 species